ACGAACGCUGGCGGCGUGCUUAACACAUGCAAGUCGAACGGAAAGGCCUCUUUCGGGGGGUACUCGAGUGGCGAACGGGUGAGUAACACGUGAGUAACCUGCCCUUGACUUUGGGAUAACUUCAGGAAACUGGGGCUAAUACCGGAUAGGAGCUCCUGCUGCAUGGUGGGGGUUGGAAAGUUUCGGCGGUUGGGGAUGGACUCGCGGCUUAUCAGCUUGUUGGUGGGGUAGUGGCUUACCAAGGCUUUGACGGGUAGCCGGCCUGAGAGGGUGACCGGCCACAUUGGGACUGAGAUACGGCCCAGACGCCUACGGGAGGCAGCAGUGGGGAAUAUUGCACAAUGGGUGGAAGCCUGAUGCAGCAACGCCGUGUGCGGGAUGACGGCCUUCGGGUUGUAAACCGCUUUCGCUCAUGACGAAGCUUUGUGUGACGGUAGUGGGUAAAGAAGCACCGGCUAACUACGUG
rnacentral:rRNA from 1 species